rnacentral:rRNA from 1 species
CGGGAGGCAGCAGUAGGGAAUCUUCCACAAUGGACGAAAGUCUGAUGGAGCAACGCCGCGUGAGUGAUGAAGGUUUUCGGAUCGUAAAACUCUGUUGUUAAAGAAGAACAAGUGUUAGAGUAACUGUUAACACUUUGACGGUAUUUAACCAGAAAGCCACGGCUAACUACGUGCCAGCAGCCGCGGUAAUACGUAGGUGGCAAGCGUUGUCCGGAUUUAUUGGGCGUAAAGCGAGCGCAGGCGGUUUUGUAAGUCUGCUGUGAAAAGCCCUCAGCUCAACUGAGGAAGUGCAGUGGAAACUACAAAACUUGAGUACAGAAGAGGAAAGUGGAACUCCAUGUGUAGCGGUGAAAUGCGUANAUAUAUGGAAGAACACCAGUGGCGAAGGCCGGCUUUCUGGUCUGUUACUGACGCUUGAGGCUCGAAAAGCAUGGGUAAGCGAACAGGGAUUAGAUACCCUGGGUAGUUCCAUGCCGUAAACGAUGAAUACUAGGUGUUGGAAGGGUUUCCGCCCUUCAGUGCCGCAGCUAACGCAUUAAGUAUUCCGCCUGGGGAGUACGACCGCAAGGUUGAAACUCAAAGGAAUUGACGGGGGCCCGCACAAGUGGUGGAGCAUGUGGUUUAAUUCGAUGCUACGCGAAGAACCUUACCAGCUCUUGACAUCUUCUGCCAACCCAAGAGAUUGGGCGUUCCCUUCGGGGACAGAAUGACAGGUGGUGCAUGGUUGUCGUCAGCUCGUGUCGUGAGAUGUUGGGUUAAGUCCCGCAACGAGCGCAACCCUUAUUAUUAGUUGCCAGCAUUUAGUUGGGCACUCUAGUGAGACUGCCGGUGAUAAACCGGAGGAAGGUGGGGACGACGUCAAAUCAUCAUGCCCCUUAUGAGCUGGGCUACACACGUGCUACAAUGGAUGGUACAACGAGUCGCGAAACCGCGAGGUCAAGCUAAUCUCUUAAAGCCAUUCUCAGUUCGGAUUGCAGGCUGCAACUCGCCUGCAUGAAGUUGGAAUCACUAGUAAUCGUGGAUCAGCAUGCCACGGUGAAUACGUUCCCGGGCCUUGUA